GACGAACGCUGGCGGCGUGCCUAAUACAUGCAAGUAGAACGCACAGUUUAUACCGUAGCUUGCUACACCAUAGACUGUGGGUUGCGAACGGGUGAGUAACGCGUAGGUAACCUGCCUGGUAGCGGGGGAUAACUAUUGGAAACGAUAGCUAAUACCGCAUAAUAUUAAUUAUUGCAUGAUAAUUAAUUGAAAGGUGCAAUUGCACCACUACCAGAUGGACCUGCGUUGUAUUAGCUAGUAGGUGAGGUAACGGCUCACCUAGGCGACGAUACAUAGCCGACCUGAGAGGGUGAUCGGCCACACUGGGACUGAGACACGGCCCAGACUCCUACGGGAGGCAGCAGUAGGGAAUCUUCGGCAAUGGACGAAAGUCUGACCGAGCAACGCCGCGUGAGUGAAGAAGGGUUUCGGAUCGUAAAGCUCUGUUGUAAGAGAAGAACGGGUGUGAGAGUGGAAAGUUCACACUGUGACGGUAUCUUACCAGAAAGGGACGGCUAACUACGUG
rnacentral:rRNA from 1 species